GAUGAACGCUGGCGGCGUGCCUAAUACAUGCAAGUCGAGCGAACAGAUGAGGAGCUUGCUCCUCUGACGUUAGCGGCGGACGGGUGAGUAACACGUGGAUAACCUACCUAUAAGACUGGGAUAACUUCGGGAAACCGGAGCUAAUACCGGAUAAUAUAUUUAACCGCAUGGUUCAAUAGUGAAAGACGGUUUUGCUGUCACUUAUAGAUGGAUCCGCGCCGCAUUAGCUAGUUGGUAAGGUAACGGCUUACCAAGGCAACGAUGCGUAGCCGACCUGAGAGGGUGAUCGGCCACACUGGAACUGAGACACGGUCCAGACUCCUACGGGAGGCAGCAGUAGGGAAUCUUCAGCAAUGGGCGAAAGCCUGACGGAGCAACGCCGCGUGAGUGAUGAAGGUCUUCGGAUCGUAAAACUCUGUUAUUAGGGAAGAACAAAUGUGUAAGUAACUAUGCACGUCUUGACGGUACCUAAUCAGAAAGCCACGGCUAACUACGUG
rnacentral:rRNA from 1 species